rnacentral:rRNA from 1 species
UACGGAGGGUGCGAGCGUUGUCCGGAAUCAUUGGGCGUAAAGGGCGCGUAGGUGGCGGGACAAGCGUGCGGUGAAAGCCUGGGGCUCAACCCCGGGUCGGCCGUGCGAACUGUUUUGCUUGAGCACUGUAGAGGCAGGCGGAAUUCCGGGUGUAGCGGUGGAAUGCGUAGAGAUCCGGAAGAACACCGGUGGCAGAAGGCGGCCUGCUGGGCAGUAGCUGACACUGAGGCGCGACAGCGUGGGGAGCAAACAGG